AGUCGAUGUGUUGGACAUUUUCUUAGCAAAUUUUUCCAUCUCUCCCACACUUCCCAUAACGAUUCACCAUUCAUUUGUCGGAAUGAUGUGAUGGCGUUUCUUAGAUU